rnacentral:rRNA from 1 species
CUACGAAGGAGGCUAGCGUUGUUCGGAAUUACUGGGCGUAAAGCGCGUGUAGGCGGAUUGGUCAGUUAGGGGUGAAAUCCCAGGGCUUAACCCUGGAACUGCCUCUAAUACUGCCAGUCUUGAGUUCGGGAGAGGUGAGUGGAAUUCCUAGUGUAGAGGUGAAAUUCGUAGAUAUUAGGAAGAACACCAGUGGCGAAGGCGGCUCACUGGCCCGAUACUGACGCUGAGGCGCGAAAGCGUGGGGAGCAAACAGGAUUAGAUACCCUAGUAGUCC